UCACCAAGGCUCGACGUAGCGCUGAAGGUACGCACUGGACUGAACUGUCCAGCCUACGAAGUCAGCAUGGGAUAUCGCACAAUUGGGCCAGCCUGAUGCAGCUAUCGUCAGCUUGAAGGAUGACGGCUCGGUGUAACUCUUUAGCAAGGACGAGCGAAGUGACGUACCUGCAGAAAAGCGCCGCUAACUACGUGCAGCAGCGCGGUAUACGUAGGGAGCAAGCGUUAUCGUAUAUUCGGCGUAAAGAGCUCGUAGCCGGUUUGUCGCGUCUGCUGUGAAUCCGAGCUCAAUCUUCGGGCCUGCAGUGGGUACGGGCAGACUAGAGUGCGGUAGGGGAGAUUGGAAUUCCUGGUGUAGCGGUGGAAUGCGCAGAUAUCAGGAGGAACUUCGAUGGCGAAGGCAGAUCUCUGGGCCGUAACUGACGCUGAGGAGCGAAAGGGUGGGGAGCAAACAGGCUUAGAUACCCUGGUAGUCACCCCGUAAACGUUGGGAACUAGUUGUGGGGUCCAUUCCACGGAUUCCGUGACGCCGCUAACGCAUUAAGUUCCCCGCCUGGGGAGUACGGCCGCAAGGCUAAAACUCAAAGGAAUUGACGGGGACCCGCACAAGCGGCGGAGCAUGCGGAUUAAUUCGAUGCAACGCGAAGAACCUUACCAAGGCUUGACAUAUACGAGAACGGGCCAGAAAUGGUCAACUCUUUGGACACUCGUAAACAGGUGGUGCAUGGUUGUCGUCAGCUCGUGUCGUGAGAUGUUGGGUUAAGUCCCGCAACGAGCGCAACCCUCGUUCUAUGUUGCCAGCACGUAAUGGUGGGAACUCAUGGGAUACUGCCGGGGUCAACUCGGAGGAAGGUGGGGAUGACGUCAAAUCAUCAUGCCCCUUAUGUCUUGGGCUUCACGCAUGCUACAAUGGCCGGUACAAAGGGCUGCAAUACCGUGAGGUGGAGCGAAUCCCAAAAAGCCGGUCCCAGUUCGGAUUGAGGUCUGCAACUCGACCUCAUGAAGUCGGAGUCGCUAGUAAUCGCAGAUCAGCAACGCUGCGGUGAAUACGUUCCCGGGUCUUGUACACACCGCCCGUCAAGUCAUGAAAGUCGGUAACACCUGAAACCGUAGUGUUGUCCUGCUCAGAUGAUCGCUCUCAUGGGC
rnacentral:rRNA from 1 species